UACGUAGGGGGCGAGCGUUGUCCGGAUUUAUUGGGCGUAAAGAGCUCGUAGGCGGUUUGGUAAGUUGGAUGUGAAAUCUCCAGGCUCAACUUGGAGGGGUCAUUCGAUACUGCCAUGACUAGAGUUCGGUAGGGGAGUGUGGAAUUUCUGGUGGAGCGGUGAAAUGCGCAGAUAUCAGGAGGAACACCCGUAGCGAAGGCAGCACUCUGGGCCGGAACUGACGCUGAGGAGCGAAAGCGUGGGGAGCGAACAGG
rnacentral:rRNA from 1 species